AUAGGACUCUUAAACCCACACUCUCAAAACCUAUUCAGAAUCUAUUUCAGAAUCUACUUUCUUCCUUCCACUUCCCUCUGCUAUGACCACUUAAACUCCUAUCUCCUUUGAAAUUAAUGGUUCCUCAACAAAUGCCUUUCUUCUGCUUUGAUUUUUCUAUAAGUUGUUUUCCAUACCACAACCAGAGUGCUCUUUUAAAACAUAAACCAGGUUAUGCACUCCCCUUGAUUAAAGUCAUCCUAUAAAUUACCUUCAAAAUUAUCCUGGUUGCAAAACCAUGCAGGAUCUGGCCUUUCCCUUUCAUGUUAUGACACUCCCCUUUUGCAGACCAUGCUCUUCAUACACUCCCCUUUCCAUUUCUGAAACACAUCAAGGUCAUUUUCACCUUAGAGUUUUGUACUCUCUGUUCUGUGUGCCUAGAAUGAUCUUUCCAGUGAUUUCCCUGCUAUUCAACUCAGUUUAAAAGUCACUUCCUCAGACAAAACCACUUCUAACUGCCCAGGUGAAAAAAGAUAAUGUGACCAAAGCUGAGAUAAGUUGUUAUCUUACCCAGGAUUAUGGUCAUCAUGUUAGCACAGAUUACUGAAUAAGCGUGACCCAUCAGGUGGGACCUGCAGGCACUAACCUAGUAGCACUCUCCCUGCAAAGACACAGGCUCUUUCCUCUGUCUUCAGAACUCAGAUCUGAUGUUACCUCACCCAGGAAGGCUUCCCGAAUCUUAGCCAUCAUUCUUUGUAAAUGCACCAAGUUGGGGUAAAAAUUCCCUGGCCCUGUAUAAACGCUUUGGUUGGUCUCCUGUUUUUUCUGCUUGCUUAUAGGUGUCUUACAUAUGAAAAAUCACCUCUGUCCAUUUGAAAGAAGAGAUCUAUUACAAAAGAUCAUCAAAGGCCAAGUAGAGAAAACAUACUUGAUGUUUACAAGAGACUAUCAAUGGUAUAUCAAAGGUCACAAGUUUCUUCUCAUCACAAUAUCAAAACUGCAAGAAGGCAAGUCCAGUGUACAAGCCCAUUUCAGGAAUUUUCCUUUGGCCAAAGCAAAUCAUAAGUCUAAAUCCAACAUCCAUGAAAGAUUUUGCCUUCCAAUUUCUAAAUCCGCUGGCAACUGUGAUUUCCAACCUGUCGUCUUCUCAGACCAGUAAGACCAGUCCUUUCUGUUGGGGCCCUAAUCCAUGGUAAGGCAGCAAACUGGAAAGGCCUCACGGACAAAGUUAGGUAAAUGCCUACCUUGAGUAUUUCUUUUGAAUCGAGGAUCACAGUCUCUCAAAUUUCUGGGUCUGUUUUUGCCUUCCAGUGCCAUCAAAUCGUUUAUUCUUCCUCUGCUUUUCCAAGUGUUACUCAACUGAGGUUUGGUUAGUUUCAGGCAGUGGCUUGAACAUUAUACACAGAAGUGGAGGCCAGACCUUUGUAUCCUGUGCUCUGAGCCUAGGCAGCACCUCAGUGCCCCAGUUGUUUGACAAUUCCAUUCAAGGGUUAAGCUGUUGUUAGCACUCAUUUAUCUCUGGGUUUUGUCCUAGUUUCCCUUUCAAAAUGGUUGCUUUCGCUCAGUUAGCAGCAUUUAAAGAUAAUUAUUUUUAGUGUAUUUUAUCUGAUAUUGUAGUUGUAUCAAGAGAGAAAAUUGUUUGGGUAAUUCUAUCCUGCCAUAUAACUGAAAACAGAAGUGUUAGAUUUAUUUUCCACACUCAUGACAAAAAUGUGAAUCUAAAAAGUAAAUAUAAGCAAGCAUACUACUCCCAUUAUAAAAAAUGAUAAAUACCUCACCAAUCCUUCUAAAUUCUAAGCUCCUCAAAUGGGAUUCCGUUCGUUCAGCCCUUAAAUGAGUCGUCUUGCCAGUCUCACCAGUCUCAUUUUGAACAACUCCCUUUCUUUCCUUCCUUUUCAACAACACAAAUUUGAUUGCGCCCAGACAUACUGUACUGCGUCAUAGUCCAAUGCCUUGUCUUCACUGCCUCAAUUUCAGAACUUUGUAACUUUUACUCUCCCCUGCAGGUAAAUA